AUUGAACGCUGGCGGCAGGCCUAACACAUGCAAGUCGAACGAGUGGCGGACGGGUGAGUAAUGUCUGGGACACUGCCUGAUGGUGGGGGAUAACUACUGGAAACGGUAGCUAAUACCGCAUACCAUCAGAUGUGCCCAGAUGGGAUUAGAUCGUUGGUGGGGUAACGGCUCACCAAGGAGACGAACCCGAGCUGGUCUGAGAGGAUGACCAGACAAACAGGAACUGAGACACGGUACAGACUCCCACGGGAGGCAGGAGGGGGGAAUAAUGCAAAAUGGGCGAAAGCCUGAUGCAGCCAUGCAGCGUGUAUGAAGAAGGCCUUCGGGUGGUAAAGUACUUUCAGCGGGGAGGCGUUACCCGCAGAAGAAGGACCGGCUGACUCCGUGCCAGCCGCCGCGGUAAUUC
rnacentral:rRNA from 1 species